GUCCCGCAGGCGCUGUGGGCGGCGCUGCUCCCUCUGCUGGCGCUGUCGGCGCCCCACGCGCUGCUCCCGGCUCUGUUGGCCGCUCUGUGGGGCGGAGCCACGUUGGGGGCGGCGCUGCUGCGCUUCACCCCCCGGCUGCCCCACGGAGACUGCGUGGUACGGACCCACGGGGCUCCCGUCCUCCCGUACGCCCAUCCUCCCGGUCCUCCCAGUCCUCCCAGUCCUCCAGUCCUCCCAUCCUCCAGUCCUCCAGUCCUCCCAGUCCUCCCAGUCCUCCAGUCCUCCCAGUCCUCCGGUCCUCUCAGUCCUCCCAGUCCUCCAGUCCUCCCAGUCCUCCGGUCUUCCCAGUCCUCCAGUCCUCCGGUCCUCCCAGUCCUCCGGUCCUCCAGUCCUCCCAGUCCUCCGGUCCUCUCAGUCCUCCCAGUCCUCCAGUCCUCCCAGUCCUCCGGUCUUCCCAUCCUCCCAGUCCUCCGGUCUUCCCAGUCCUCCGGUCCUCCCAGUCCUCCGGUCCUCCAGUCCUCCAGUCCUCCCAGUCCUCCAGUCCUCCCAGUCCUCCAGUCCCCCCCAGAGUCCCC
rnacentral:lncRNA from 1 species